ensembl:lncRNA
AUGGGGUCUCCCAUGGGAUGACAAGCUGUCCCACAUCAUCAUGUGGUGCUUCUUCUGUAUUUUUUUUUUUUUUUGCAGAGGAUUGCAAUUUAGAGCUGAAGAAAGACAGUGAAGAGAUGGGUGAGUCUCCCCUCCCAAAAUAAAAACGUUGGGGUUCUCCUGUGGGAGCUGUGGAUGAGAUGUUCCUCUCAUCACGCACUGUUUCUACUUUUCCUUUGCAGGUUCUGGCAUUGCAGAUCUGAGUAAGUCUCCCUCCCUACAGUGAAGGAAUUUGGGGUCUUCCCAUGGGAUCAGCCAUGGGAUUAUCAUCUGACCCUUCUCAUCAUGCAUUUCAUAUUUGUUCCUUUUGCAGAGGAACUGGCUGCAAAAUUGAAGGAAUAUAUUGCAGAGAAUCAGAGAAGGAAUGUACCGUUGAGUGAGUCUCUCUUCCCAAACCAAACAGAUUUGGGGUCUUCCCAUGGGAUCAGCCAUGGGAUGAUAAUCGGACCCUUCUCAUCAUGCGUUUCUGAUUGGUUCCUCUUGCAGAUAAUAUAGCUGCCAAACUGGAACAUCAAACUAAAGAAUUGGACAAACAGCAUUCACAGUUCUGUAAGUUGCAGUCACUAAACUGAAGGAAUGUGGGGUCUUCCCAAAGUCCUGCAUAUGGGAUGAAAAAUCCCCUCUGACCAUGCACUGCUUUUCUCUUUCUAUUCCAGACAGACACUUUCAGCGUAUGGAUUUAAGUGCUGUAAACCAGAAGAAACUGGUUACAAAAUUGGGUGAGUCCAACCUCCCAAAUUCAAUAAAAAGUAGUCCGACUUUGUGGGAUGAGAUGUUCCUCUCAUCAUGUGCUGCUUUCCUUUUACUUCUCCAGAGGAACACUGUAAUCAGAUGGGUGAGUCUCCCCUCCCAAAUUAAAAAUGUUGGGGUCUUCCUGUGUGAGCUGUGGGAUGAGCUGUUCCUCUCAUCGUGCACUGUUUCUGCUUUUCCUUUGCAGAGAGAAGGAAUGUAAAGUCGGGUGAGUCUUCUUCCCCAACCAUAGAUUCAGGGACUUCCACAGGAUCAGCCAUGGGAUGAUAACCUGAACCUUAUCAUGUGUUUCUUAUUUGUUCCUUUUGCAGAGGCAGCAGCUGUAAAAGUGGGUGAGUCCUCCCUCCCAAAUUAAAUACAAAAGGGGAUCUGCCUGUGUGAGCUGUGGGAUGAGAUGUUCCUCUCAUCACACAUUGUUUUUCUUUUCCAGGGCAACAAGCUAAAGAAUCAGGUGAGUCUUCUUCCCCGUCCCAGAGGACUAUGGGUUUCCCAUGGGAUGACAAGCUGUGCCACCUCCUCAUGAGGUGCUUCUUCUUUCUUUUUUGCAGAGAAACAGAAAUCGGAGCUGAGUAAGUUGCAGUCACUGAAGUGAGGGAAUUGGGGGUCCUUUCAAGGGACUGCGUAUGGGAUGAAAAAUCCCCUCUGACCAUGCACUGCUUUUCUCCUCCUUUGCCAGAGGAGCGCCAUGAGGAGAUGGGUGAGUCUCCCCUCCCAUAUUAAAAUCGUUGGGGUCUUCCUGUGUGAGCUGUGGGAUGAGAUAUUCCUCUCAUCGUGCGGUGCUUUUCUCUCU